AGUCUGCAUCAGAGAAUUACAGUUAAAGAGGAGAGGCUCAAGGAAGAACUUCUAAAACAAAAGGUUGGUUUGUUAGUAGAACUUUUUUAUUAUUAUUAUUAUUUUUAUUAAUAUGUUUUCUUUACAAUGUACUCUAUAUGCAAUAAUAUUUUUUUGGUAGGUUAAUGUCAUUAGAAGGUUAUGCAAAGAAUGUGGUUUGAAGUCCACUGGAUCUCGCAAUGACCUCCUCGUCAGAUUGUCUAAUGAAUUUUAAUCCAGGCAGACAUAUGACAAAAUCUUUAAAAAAAUCUGGGGUGCCUCUGGUGAUCUUAAUUUCUAAUACUGUUUUGCUUGGUAUUGCCAAAAUAUGAUAUUUGAUAUUGUGGUCAAUAUAUUUCCAAUAUGUGAACCCUUUUUGGAAUGUUGUGUUUUUUUUUUAUUAUUGAAUGUUAUUUUUUAAAGUCUUGAAUCUUCUGUCUUUUUCCAUCCUGUAUUAGGAGGCUGGGGAGUGAUCAUAUGCCCAUGUUUACAGUCUAAAAUGCAGUCUUCGAGCUGAGAGCCCUCAAGACUUUGCUGACUUAUUGUUAUCAUGGAAACAUAUGCCUAACUUCAUAAUUUAUGACUUUGCAUGGGGUCUUGCAACACAUACCAAUCUAAGGGCACCAGAAAACAUUCCCAAUUGUCCAUAUGAAGGACUCUUAGUGGAACCCACUGAAGCAAACAUAGAACUGGCCAAGUCUGGGUAAUUGAAAGUGUCUGUGUUGGCUGGAUGAAAAAAAGAGAGUGAGAGAUCCUCAUGGACACCCAGUGACAGGUUCUUCUGAUCAUUACAUAUUGUCUGACCGUUUUCAUGAGGGCAAUACCAAAGACAGUAGAGAUGUUCUGAGGAAGCUUACCAUAGUUCCUCAGCUAGCUGGCAAAGUAAAUAGCCAGUAGAGCCGACCGAUAUGGAAUUUUUGAGACCGAUACCGAUUUUAGAGGGGAAAAUUCACCGAUUGCCAAUAUGGUGGCCGAUAUAGUUAAUUUUUGAACUGGAAUGGACAUUUUCUAUGUGGAUUGUGCACUGAUUUUGCACCGAUAUGACUAUGCAAAGGUAUUCAGAAGGCUGCUUUCUUAAACAAAUAUUUUUAUCAAAGAAUAUUUGACAUUAUUAUUAUACAUUGUCAACAAAUUCUAGAAAUGAACACUGAGAAAAUAAAUCAAAAUACAAUAAAUAGCUAAAUAAACAUCAGUACUGUAUGUUUAGUACCAGUCAAUGGCUGACCAUUUAAAUAAAGUGUAAAUUAAAAUUAUCGCUAAAUAAAAAUCAGUACUGUAUGUUUAGUAUCAGUCAAUGGCUGACCAUUAAAAUAAAGAAUAAAUAUAAAUAAAAUAAAUAGCUAAAUAAACAUCAGUAGUACUGUUUAGUAUCAGUCAAAUGCUGAUUAUUUUAAUACUGCCAGUCAAUUAGGGGCAGGUUGUAAAACAAGAAGCAUUUACACCUGCCGAUUCAAGAGAUAAAGAGCGGCAGCAGUGUUACACCGUAUUCUGCCAUACAAGUUCAGGGGAAACAUUCAACGGUGGAAAACCAGACUUUUAAAUAUUACAUUUUAUAAAUGCAAUGACUGGAAUUGUUCAGUUGAAUGGAGUACCAAACUGCGAAUCCUGAACAAAACAGUUUGGUGAAUACAUGUUUACACAUUAGCUUCCACUCAGCUGACAAGCAAUGAAAGUAGCUGCAUGAUUAGCUAGUUAGCUAUAAGCUCGUUGUCACGGAGAGUAAAAGAUGGAUGUUGUUUAUUUACUUUCUAGUAUUGUGUCAUACCAACUAGGUAACAAUGUAGCGUGAAAUCAACACUCAACAGACACAAUCCACCACCGCACCGUUGUCUGCUGAGCUGCAAAAAGAUGCUCUGACAAACUAUAGCUGGCUAACAUAGCAAACAGAUGUGAUAAACAUGAGUGACAUGGUUGUCAGGGACAGGGUUAACAUUAUAUUGAAAAGGGAAAAUUAUGGGGUCAUUGUUUAUUAACAUUCCAAUAUGUAUUUCACAAACUAGUUAGCAACUUACUGUGAAGACACCACUUAACUCCACACCGCUUAACUCCACACUGUUUGUAGAACCACCAUCAGCAGAACCACGUCAGCUCAGCUCUGUAAACAGUGGAGUCAGAGCUCGCUCUGCUGGACAAAAUACGUUAUGACACCAGUUCUAAAGCAUUGUUUUCUGCUUUAUAAUUUAUGUUCUGAAAAAAAGUUCUUAUCUGUGCAUAUCGGUAAACAUAUACGCUGAUACCGAUAUAUCUGUGAAAGGCUAAUAAUGGCCGAUAAUAUUGGCCGACCGAUUUAGCCAGGUUGCAGAGCAACUGUUCUCAAAGUUGAGGAAAAACAACUCUUUUUUUGAACAUGUCUCUGCCAUCAAAACAUCUGUUUCAAAUGAGGACCAUAAUUCACCACUAUAAUGAAAACAAGAACAAUGAAAUGGUGUCACAUCAAACACCUGUCUGCCAGUAGAGUGUGCUGGGAUUGUCUGCCAAGUCAUAGGCAAUCAGCAAUGGUACAUGAACGACAGUUUUCAUUUUUAUGUUUUAUUUAAUGUCUCAAUAGCACAUAAUGUGCCUUAUGAAUCGAACCAAAAUAUUAUUAUUUAUUUAUUUAUUUUUUGCUUCUCUUAUCUGUCUUUAAGCUUGACUGGGUCCUUGAGUACAGACAAUCCAGAUGAGACUAUUGCUGAAGUUGACAACAUUCUCCUGAAAAGGAAAGAUUUCUGGACUCUGGGUCUCAAUGAGCAGUUGGAGGCAACAUAAGAUGACAGCUAAAAUUGCACCUGGCACAUGGAUGCUACUGAAAAACAAGCUCAGAAACCCUUCAGGAGGCACUUCCAAGUGGAGAACAAGCUACGCCCAGCAGCAAUGAGGAGCUCCCAGUAAUACUAGACAUAAAAACAGCUGUGAAAUGGCUCCAUGCAAACAAACAACUGUUCAGGGGCUCAGUGGAAGAGCCUCUUUUCCUAAAGAUGGAUGAAGAGGACAAGGAAAAGGCCCUCCACAAACUUCUAGAACAAUCAGAACUUUCCAGAGAGCCCUUUACAUUUAAUUUCCUUUUCAGGGAUGACAUGGAGUUCUUUCUGUAGGAAUGCCAUGAUAAAACGGGCCUAAGAGUCAUUUGUUCUUUUGAUAAGUUUUAAGUUGAUUAUUUGUUGUAUAAAGUUUGAGUGUUUCUGUUAAAAUUAUGCUGAUGUUUACAAGUUUUAUUAUUAUUAUUUUAGUUCUAUUUUCUUAUUAUUGAAAUGUCUUAUUAGUUUUUAUGUAGAGAAAUGCACG